GAUGAACGCUGGCGGCGUGCCUAAUACAUGCAAGUAGAACGCUGAAGGAAGGAGCUUGCUCUUUCCGGAUGAGUUGCGAAUGGGUGAGUAACGCGUAGGUAACCUGCCUGGUAGCGGGGGAUAACUAUUGGAAACGAUAGCUAAUACCGCAUAACAGUAGAUGUUGCAUGAUAUCUACUUAAAAGGUGCAAUUGCACCACUACCAGAUGGACCUGCGUUGUAUUAGCUAGUUGGUGAGGUAACGGCUCACCAAGGCGACGAUACAUAGCCGACCUGAGAGGGUGAUCGGCCACACUGGGACUGAGACACGGCCCAGACUCCUACGGGAGGCAGCAGUAGGGAAUCUUCGGCAAUGGACGGAAGUCUGACCGAGCAACGCCGCGUGAGUGAAGAAGGUUUUCGGAUCGUAAAGCUCUGUUGUAAGAGAAGAACGAGUGUGAGAGUGGAAAGUUCACACUGUGACGGUAUCUUACCAGAAAGGGACGGCUAACUACGUG
rnacentral:rRNA from 1 species